rnacentral:rRNA from 1 species
UAGGGAAUGUUGGUAAUGUGCGAAAGUGCGAACCAGCAACACCGCGUGUGCGAAGAAGGCCUUCGGGUUGUAAAGCACUUUUUGAGAGGAUGAGGAAGGACGGUACUCUCAGAAUAAGUCUCGGCUAACUACGUGCCAGCAGCCGCGGUAACACGUAUGAGGCAAACGUUAUCCGGAUUUACUGGGCGUAAAGCGCGUGUAGGUGGUUUGGUAAGUAGAGCGUGAAAGCUCCUGGCUCAACUGGGAGAGGUCGUUCUAAACUGCCGGACUAGAGGAUGGUAGAGGGAGGUGGAAUUCCGGGUGUAGCGGUGGAAUGCGCAGAUAUCCGGAGGAACACCAGUGGCGAAAGCGGCCUCCUGGACCACUCCUGACACUCAGACGCGAAAGCUAGGGUAGCAAACG